GCGUUGGUGGCGCAGUGGCUAGCGCUGCUGUUUUUGAAAUUUUCAACAAGGGUUCGACCCCCGUGGGAGUCA